rnacentral:rRNA from 1 species
GAUGAACGCUGGCGGCGUGCCUAAUACAUGCAAGUCGAGCGAACGGACGAGAAGCUUGCUUUUCUGAUGUUAGCGGCGGACGGGUGAGUAACACGUGGAUAACCUACCUAUAAGACUGGGAUAACUUCGGGAAACCGGAGCUAAUACCGGAUAAUAUUUUGAACCGCAUGGUUCAUAAGUGAAAGACGGUCUUGCUGUCACUUAUAGAUGGAUCCGCGCUGCAUUAGCUAGUUGGUAAGGUAACGGCUUACCAAGGCAACGAUGCAUAGCCGACCUGAGAGGGUGAUCGGCCACACUGGAACUGAGACACGGUCCAUACUCCUACGGGAGGCAGCAGUAGGGAAUCUUCCGCAAUGGGCGAAAGCCUGACGGAGCAACGCCGCGUGAGUGAUGAAGGUCUUCGGAUCGUAAAACUCUGUUAUUAGGGAAGAACAUAUGUGUAAGUAACUGUGCACAUCUUGACGGUACCUAAUCAGAAAGCCACGGCUAACUACGUG